rnacentral:lncRNA from 1 species
AUGUUUCCUGUGAAUUGUGAUGAUUUCUUACACUACAUUUGCAAGCAUGUGUAUGCAUCUGCAGGAAACAUAGCCUGGCUCUGUGAAGGAAUACUGCUGCGACCGCAAAACUGUUUCUGUGGAAUUUUCUCCGGUGUGGUCAUCCUGCCUUCAGAGAUUUCUCCAGGACGUUACCUGGAGGAGGUACACAGUGUGAGGACACGCUCUGUGCUUUUCCUACUUGGGUCCGCGCCGUACCAGCCAGCAGCCCGCUCUCCUGGCCAUGCUGCGGCUCAACAGAAGUCCAGCAUUUGGCUAGCUUCCUGGGGGAAUGAAUCUUUCCGAGCCAAACUAAUGCUAUACAUGCAGCCUAUGAUUUUUUUUUUUUUUGGUCUUCCACAAAGUGAAUACUUACUUUUUUUUUGCUCUUUAAAUUGUCAUCCAUUAUAUUCAUCAACACAGAGAGAUGGAACAUUUGGCAAAAUUAUUUUAAGUAGCACUCCAACCUGUGAUCGUAAUUUCAAAUCAAGGAAUUUGCUGAGCAGCUGUGGGGAAGAACAAAGGGCCUGA